rnacentral:rRNA from 1 species
CCUACGGGAGGCAGCAGUGAGGAAUAUUGGUCAAUGGGCGGAAGCCUGAACCAGCCAAGUCGCGUGAGGGAAUAAGGCCCUACGGGUCGUAAACCUCUUUUGCCGGGGAGCAAGGGCCGGGACGAGUCACGGUCCGGAGAGUACCCGGAGAAAAAGCAUCGGGUAAUUCCGUGCCAGCAGCCGCGGUAAUACGGAGGAUGCGAGUGUUAUCCGGAUUUAUGGGGUUUAACGCGUGCGUAGGCGGGUUUUAAAGGACGCGGUAAAAAUUGGGGGUUCAACCCGGUCGGUCCGUUGAAAUGGGGGCAUUGGGUGGGCGAGAAGAAGGCGGAAUGCGUGGUGUAGCGGUGAAAUGCAUAGAUAUCACGCAGAACCCCGAUUGCGAAGGCAGCCUUCCGGCGCCCUACUGACGCUGAGGCACGAAAGUGCGGGGAUCGAACAGGAUUAGAUACCCGGGUAGUC